AGUGAACGCUGGCGGUAGGCCUAACACAUGCAAGUCGAACGGCAGCACAGUAAGAGCUUGCUCUUACGGGUGGCGAGUGGCGGACGGGUGAGGAAUACAUCGGAUUCUACUUUUUCGUGGGGGAUAACGUAGGGAAACUUAUGCUAAUACCGCAUACGACCUACGGGUGAAAGCAGGGGAUCUUCGGACUUUGCGCGAUUGAAUGAGCCGAUGUCGGAUUAGCUAGUUGGCGGGGUAAAGGCCCACCAAGGCGACGAUCCGUAGCUGGUCUGAGAGGAUGAUCCGCCACACUGGAACUGAGACACGGUCCAGACUCCUACGGGAGGCAGCAGUGGGGAAUAUUGGGCAAUGGGCGCAAGCCUGAUCCAGCAAUACCGCGUGGGUGAUGAAGGACUUCGGGUUGUAAAGCCCUUUUGUUUGGAAAGAAAAACAGCAGGUUAAUACCCCGCUGUUCUGACGGUACCCAAAGAAUAAGCACCGGCUAACUUCGUG
rnacentral:rRNA from 1 species